rnacentral:lncRNA from 1 species
UUUUUUUGAGCCACUUGCGUUCUGCAAACCCGUUAUUCCCCGAAGCCACCUCUGCAUAUUUCUUUUAUUACUACCAUCGCCUGAAGCGUUCGUUUAAAAAAAAAAAAUGUUUUUGUUUUGAUAAACGGGCAAGAGGAACUCCAGAUUUGUACUUCAGCUCAUCUUUUCCCCCACUUAUUACAAAAAGGCUAGUGAUGGCUAAUUAGGGAUUUGGAAGUGAAGAACCUUAAAGCUUUUUAAAGUGUUUACAAGAAGGGCUAAUAUAAACCUGAAGGAAAGGAAAGGGCGCUAGCUAAUACUUAUCUCUAACUGAUAUGGAGGUAAAUUACUGACACGGUCGAUAACCUACCGAAGGUUAUUGAAAGAGUAUAUUACAGUUUAGCAAAGGUGAUUAGUGAUUAAAUAAUUUAAAUUAUCUGUGUAUCUUGCAGUUGACUUCGUCAUGCUAAUUAAUGGCUUCUAAUUUACGGUGUAAACCAUUCCUGUUUACAGUUAAUCACGGGAAGACUUCUUAAAAACUGGCGAAAAGCAGAAACAAAAAUCUUUUCGUAAAUCCUAAUGUAAUUACUGGUUUUAUAUGAUACAUCGUUCAUCUGUGUUUUGCUGAUGAGGAUAGGGGCCUUGUUAUUUUUAAAACGAAUAUGGGUGAAAUUAAUGGAAACAAUGGAAAAGGCCGUUUGUUAAAAAACAAGGACACCGAGUGAUAUUUAUCUCCAGAUGAAUUAAGCACUUUCCAAAAAGACUUUGAGAGUUCAAUUUUUUUAAAGGUUGGCCUUUUAAAGAGAAUUAGGCUAGUCAUUCUUUUGUUAAUCCUUAACAAAAGAUCCUCUUUGAAUUUCUUAGAUAAUAAGCUGCAUUUUAUGGGUCUGAUUUUAAAAGGUAAUUUGUGAGGUAAGGACCAAGAAGCUGGAUUGUGGUUUUCCGGGAUUGUUUCCUCAAGCCCUGCACCCUCCUAGCUCCCUGCCUUCCUAGUGGGAAAUGCUGCAGCCGCCUUAGGCUGUACUGCAAGAGCACUAAAACACCAGACAUUCUCACACAUGUGAGCACGAGGAAACCGUCUCAACCCCCUUUGGAAUCAUGGAUGUAAAAUUGCCUUUUGUAACUCAAUAAAAAUAAGAGGUUACCCCGAUUGGUCCUAAUGCUACAGUAUUAUAAGAUCUGCCCCUAAACUGGUGUGGCUAGCCUCAGAAUCUGGACAUGUUUGCAUUUUUAAAACGUGUAAUCCUAGUCUUACAAUGUUAGGUAAAGUAGCCUGCUUCUGAAUAAUUAGGCAUAAAACAUAUUUUAUAUGCCUUUGCAAUUGUAUUUAUUUAUGUGACUAAUGUUGUUUUAUCUUAACUUUUUAAAAUGCAUUAUGUCCUUCAAAUAAUUUAGGUACUUCAUUGAGAAGGUCUUUAAAUGAACAGAUUUUGAGAACUAAAAAUUCUACUUGAGGCUUGCUGGUUCUGCACGCAACACUAAUCUAAUUCUUCCUCUUAGAUGUUUUGCCCUUGAGAGGUAAAAAUCAAAUUUUGGCAAGUAAUGUAAACUGUAUCUGGAUAAAGUUUUGUAGGUGUUAGGAGACAUGGGAGGCUAGCAUGAUACCAUGUAUGUUUUCCAUGCAGAAGCCAUGGGAGCUUUUUCUUGAGACUGAAAACAAAAAUAAAAAACUGUUU